ACACUACAUUCUCCAACGUCUCACUCUCCUCACAGUACCUUCACUCUCUCUUACAAACAGUAACAAAAAGAAAUAAAUAGAAAGACCUCAGACCUCACUCAUGGAUUCAUUCACUACACGCCACCCACCAAAUUACCUCACGCUUCCCACAUGUCCCUCAUCUACACGCCACCUAUCACCUUGUCAUUCACGUUGACCAUACGUGACUCUCUCUCACCAAUACCCUUCAUUUAAGACACUCUCACAAAAUCACUCUUGGCUUUUCUGUCACCACUAGCUCACGAAAAAGGAAAAGGAAACAGAAACAAGAAAUUAAAAGCACUCCUCUUCUUCUUGAAAAAAGGCAUCCACCACACGCUCUCCUUCCCCUUCUAAUGGCCGCCGGCCAUCCAUAACAAAUGACAUUCGUCCGCAUCUCCGUUCUUUUUUAACCACAAUACAACCUCCACUGCGUUUUCCUCCAUAAACCGUUGACCGUGAGGCCACAGCUUCCACUCACCCAUCAUCUUCCUCCGCCUCACAACAACCUCACGAAGCACCCUUUAACACCACACAAAACUCCCUUUUCAACCGCCGUGAAUCGCCACCACUACCACUAUGUCGUCGCAUCAUCGCUUAACCACCGUCAAUUUUGAACCAUCCGCCGUCUUCCUCAUCUAUUCCGGCGAUAAAUUCCAAACCUCACCGCCGCGUCAAUAACCAAACUCCUUCACACUCAGGCGAAUCCACAUCUAUUCACCGACAUCGCUGCCGCCAUGGUUCGCUCUUCUAAAUUCACCACAACCAACCGCGACGCAAAUUCUCUCUUCCCCAACUGGCGAAACCAAGCAAUAAACCUUCCAACUCCGCAGCGACAAUAAACGACAGCAGUGACACCGCUUCGGUAAUAUCAAUUUCGUAUGCUUGUGGUGUUGUGAUUUUGAGAUUAACUCUGUUAUUACAUUAAAUUUUUAUUGAUUUCUGUUAUGUCAUAAACUGUUGCAAGUAUUAUAGAGUGUGGAAUUUUUGAGAUUGAUUCUAUUAGGUAGCGUUUUUUGAAUAUGACUAUGGCCUCAUUGUUUUCUACUGGUUUCCUAUUGUGUUCUAGUUUGUAAAUUGUCUUACCAAGGUGUUGUUGUAACCAACUUUAGAAGGCUUUUGUUAAUAUGAUAAUUUGAAUUGCUACUUGCAUUUGUCAUGUCCAGUUGGUUUUCUGUUUGGAGAAGUGGUUCUUAUGGGCAAGGCUUUUGUUUAUUGUUAUAUCCAAUAUUUUUUAAUGUUAUUCUCUUUACGUUCCACUAAUCGCAUCAUGUUGAUUUCAUAGACAUAUUAAACUUCAUAUUGAGUUGUAUUGAAGCAGUUUGGAAUUGAUUGCAAUGAAUUUGUUACAUGUUUAAUGCUAUUAUUUUCUUGCUGCGGGAUUAAAGUGGUUUAGCGUUACGGUAAUAGUUUGUGUUGCGUUUUCCUUGAUAUUACGUUGUUUGUUAUAGCCACUGUUUUGAUUUAGAUUUGGUUACAUUAAUCUAUGUUGAUUGUUGGUAUUAAAAUGUCGUAAUGUUCUUUUCCGGGGUAUUUUUGAUGUGAUUGUGUUGUUGUUGUUGCGUGUUGAAGUUGUUGCGUGUAAAAUCAAAUAUCAUUCGCAGCUUUAAUGCGUAAAAUGUUUCGAUUAUAUUUCUGUUUCAAUUACAUACUUACUUCAUUUCCAAUUCGGUUAUACUGUUUUGGGAAUUCGAUAUUGGUAUUGUAAUGUUGAAGAUAUUGUGUUACCGUAUUGUUGAUUGUGUAUCAGUUUGCGUAUUCGUAUUUGUUUCACUUACAGCUUUACGAACUCUUAAGUUGUUAUUGGUUAUGUCGUCCGUCUACUGGGAUUUAGUAUUCAAAAUGGGUGUAUAUGCGAUUGGUAGUACAUUUUGGGUGGCAAUUUGAUUUGAAGCUUUUGUUUUACUAUAUGUAUUUCACUUUGUGCUUCAAUUCAUGUGGUAUUUUAUCCUUAAGAGAGAAGCUUGUUUUCUUAUUAAAUAUUUCUAAACAUAUGCGUGAGAAUGGCAGGGAAAUGUUGUGUUCUAAAUAUUUAUUUAUUUUUGUUUCUAGUUAUGAAAGUGGGUGUUAGGUGUUAAUGGAUAUAUGGUGACUUAUUCGAAUUUUGACCAAACGUUAGAUUUUUUUAGAAUUAGUGUCCCCUAUCUUGAUUGCAUGAUUACUUCUAUUUUAUUUAUUUCAUUCAUUCAAUCUGGUAUUCAGAAAUAGUAUUUUGGACUACUUGGUAUUUGUCUACAAGUCCAUUACCAUGAACACCCACUUUUCGGUGUGUUAAAUUUUCUGUAUGAAUUGGGUCUUUAAAUCAAUAUUAACACAUAUUUUCAUUCUUUUAAUUAAAUUAAUUAAUCAAAUUGAAGUUUUUGCUUAAUUAGUUAAUUAAUUUUAAUUAACAUGAUUAUUUAACUUAAAUAAAUAAUUUUGAUAAUUAAUCUUAAUUAAUUUAAUUAAUCGACUCAAUCAAACUUUAAUUAAUUAAUUUUAUUAAUUAAAUAUUGAUUGAUUUAUUUCACUCCAAUUCAUUAUUGAUUCAAAACUAUUUUAAAACCACUAAAAUCACACAAUUCUUGAUUUAGCCUCAAGCUCAUUUCCAGAUGCAUUUGUAAGCCGAUCGCUUUUAAAGCAUCGCCAUCCAUCUCACAUAGCUUACUCUUGGGCUUUUUUACAAUGAGACCUAUUUGGUUGUUAAUCAAUCGAGUAGAUAAACAGUACACUAAGAUAAAAUUCAUUCCAUUCAUAUACACAAAUUUAAAACCUCGAUCCAACAUCGAGUAUUUUCAUUCAAAUUAAUUCAAAAUACCUAAGUCACAAUCGAAUACCAUUUCAUUUGGAAAUAAAAAGGGGGAUGGUUUUGAGUUUUCAAUUCCUCUCCUCGAUUAUUGAAUACGAGUUCUCUUACUCGGUUAGUCAAAUAGUCGUCACUUCUAUCCAUCUAAGCACAAUCAAACCGAAUCAUUUUUAUAAUAAGAAUGAAAAGGGAGAUGACUUUGAGUUUUCAACUUCUCUCCUCAAUUGUUUGAAUAUGAGUUCUCUUACUCGGUUAGUCAAAUCAUUGUCAUUUCUAAAUCGUCUAAAACCAAUUAAAUCAAUCUAUUCUCAUGACAACGAAAUGAAAAGGGAGAUGGUUUUAAGCCUUUAACUCUUCUCUUCGAUUGUUUGAAUACGAGUUUUUUUACUCGGUCAGUUAGACACUCGUCAUUUCUUUACAAACCUUAAACCAAGAUUAAAUCAAAUUAUUUUCAUAAUGAGCUAAAUGAAAAGGGAGAUGACUUUGAGUUUUCAACUUCUCUCCCCAAUUGUUUGAAUACGAACCUUAAACCAAGAUUAAAUCAAAUUAUUUUCAUAAUGAGCUAAAUGAAAAGGGAGAUGACUUUGAGUUUUCAACUUCUCUCCCCAAUUGUUUGAAUACGAGUUCUCUUACUCGGUCAGUCGAACAAUUGUCAUUUUUCCGCCGACUCCUACCGUAAGUCAAAUCAUUGUCAACCAAAACUAUACGAAAAGGGAAAUGGUCUUGAGUUUUCAAUUCCUCUUCUCAAAUGCUUGGAUAUGAGUUGUCUUAUUCAGCCAUUCGAGCACUUGUCGUUUAUUCUAAAAUACACCGACCAUACAUAAACUUAUUUUUAUAAUCACUUAGAUGAAAAAUAAAGUGGUCUAGAGUUUUCUAUUGCCUUUCCCGAUUAUUAGGGUACGAGUUGUCUUACUCGAUUAUCCGAGUAUUCGUCAUCCAGUCAAAACACAUUAAUUAUCAUUAAAAUCCUUUUUACAAUUAAGGAUGAAAAAGAAGGUGGUAUAGAGUCUUCUAUUCCCUUUCUCGACUAUUGGGAUACGAGUUGUCUUACUCGAAUAUCCGAUUAAUCGUCAUCCAACAAAAAUAUCUUAACACAUCAAAUAUAUAUCUGUCUCGCCUCGUGCGAUCAAAACCAAUCAAACAAAACUUUCAAAUAUAUUAAUCCAACUUGUCACCCUCGUGUGACCAAAACUCUCUUCAAAAAGAACACUGUUUAAUCCUUUCUAACGCGCACAACAAACUAGUGCUUAAGCCUCCGCCGAGAGUAGACAAGCCAACAUUUAGCCUUUAGAACGUGAUCUAAACAGUCGUUCAUUAAAAGACACCAACAAACCGUAGUACCCCGAACUACGAAAUGCUCUAAUUUCCUUAUUAUACCAUAAGGAUACGUAGGCAGGAGAUUGCUGUAUCUUCGCGAGCACACUAAUAAAAAACCUCCUCUUUCUCCUUUCUGAGGUUCUCAUCCAUUUCUCUUUUCAAUAUUUUAUAACCCAAAGAUAACAAACAAACAUAAAUUAACACUUAAAACACAAAUUAGAACUAAAAGGUUCCCGUUGAGUACAACGGGCGUAAGGGGUGCUAAUACCUUCCCCUUACGUAAUCCACUCCCGAACCCGAAUAUGGUUGCGACGACCAUUAUUCCAUUUCCUAAAAGUUUUUUCGAUAUUUUACUAUCCCUUCAUUGGGAUAAAUAAAGUUCGGUGGCGACUCUGUUCGAACACUAAUUUUUUCCGCGACCAUCGCGAGGAAUCGUAUUUUUCGAGAUACGAUAGAUGGCGACUCUGCUGGGGACUAGCUCCAAGCAAAAGAGAGUAUAGCCUAAUUUAGUUCAGUUUCUGUAUUGUGUGUUAAUCUUGUUUGUUUGUUCGUUAUUUAUUCUAUUAUUAUUAUGUUGUCAUAAUUAUUAUCUGGUGUUUUAUUGGCUAUGUAUUAUUGGGGUUCUCUGAUUGGUGAUACUUUGUGAGAUAGGCUCUCCACCCGAGUUUGAGAAAAACCAUAAGAUUAAGUUAGUGGUUGCAUAGUGGACGCCCACAAGGAGUCUUCCUUGUUGGGAAGAUAUGAAGACCCCACCUAGAGGAGAUUCUCUUGAGAUAUUAUUGCCCGACGAGUCUUCAUCACGACGAUAGUAUUCCCAAGUUGGAUCAAUGACUCUAGGGACCUUUUAACCCACUCUAUUCGGCGGUUAUGUAGUAGUAACUGUAAUACCCCAAAAUUUACCCUUCAUUUUUCCUGGAAGCAUGGGAUUAUGUUUUACACUUCAUUAGCAUCAUAUUAGGUCAUACUCAUUGCAUACUGCAUUAGUGACAUGGAGAUCAAGUUUUGAUCGAUCACUCCUUAACAUAAGGAGCCCACACAAAGCAAGAUUGAGAAUUGGACUUCAUUUUCUAAGUAUACAAGUCUCAAGGGUCACAGGGGGGUCCAAGUAUCUUAUUAUGGUCCUCAGUUCAUUAGUGAAGGAUUCAAAGCUAUCAGAGUGUUCAUCUGGAUUUAAUCAGAAAUUAGGGUUUCAUGGCUACCUGCAACAGGCAAUGUUUGGUUGGAAGUAGAGGAGCUCAUCCAUGUCAUGAUUAGAGAGGCAUCUUGGCCUAGGAAGAUUCACAAUUAUCUCAGAAAGAUCCAUUGGCAAUCAGUGCAAUCAGUUCCUGAUCAUUUUGCCCUAAAACUAGGGUUUGGUAUAAAAUCAGUUUAUUUCUGAUUCUUUGGGUGAAACUCUUUUCCAUGGCCCUCCAUAUGUCCACAAGGGUCUACAUACAAAAAAUCAGCUCUUUAUUUGAGCUAGAAGUGCUUCAAUUGAUCAAUGGAAUCGGGAAUCAGACAGUUUGGGAAAAGUCAACUNNNNNNNNNNNNNNNNNNNNNNNNNNNNNNNNNNNNNNNNNNNNNNNNNNNNNNNNNNNNNNNNNNNNNNNNNNNNNNNNNNNNNNNNNNNNNNNNNNNNNNNNNNNNNNNNNNNNNNNNNNNNNNNNNNNNNNNNNNNNNNNNNNNNNNNNNNNNNNNNNNNNNNNNNNNNNNNNNNNNNNNNNNNNNNNNNNNNNNNNNNNNNNNNNNNNNNNNNNNNNNNNNNNNNNNNNNNNNNNNNNNNNNNNNNNNNNNNNNNNNNNNNNNNNNNNNNNNNNNNNNNNNNNNNNNNNNNNNNNNNNNNNNNNNNNNNNNNNNNNNNNNNNNNNNNNNNNNNNNNNNNNNNNNNNNNNNNNNNNNNNNNNNNNNNNNNNNNNNNNNNNNNNNNNNNNNNNNNNNNNNNNNNNNNNNNNNNNNNNNNNNNNNNNNNNNNNNNNNNNNNNNNNNNNNNNNNNNNNNNNNNNNNNNNNNNNNNNNNNNNNNNNNNNNNNNNNNNNNNNNNNNNNNNNNNNNNNNNNNNNNNNNNNNNNNNNNNNNNNNNNNNNNNNNNNNNNNNNNNNNNNNNNNNNNNNNNNNNNNNNNNNNNNNNNNNNNNNNNNNNNNNNNNNNNNNNNNNNNNNNNNNNNNNNNNNNNNNNNNNNNNNNNNNNNNNNNNNNNNNNNNNNNNNNNNNNNNNNNNNNNNNNNNNNNNNNNNNNNNNNNNNNNNNNNNNNNNNNNNNNNNNNNNNNNNNNNNNNNNNNNNNNNNNNNNNNNNNNNNNNNNNNNNNNNNNNNNNNNNNNNNNNNNNNNNNNNNNNNNNNNNNNNNNNNNNNNNNNNNNNNNNNNNNNNNNNNNNNNNNNNNNNNNNNNNNNNNNNNNNNNNNNNNNNNNNNNNNNNNNNNNNNNNNNNNNNNNNNNNNNNNNNNNNNNNNNNNNNNNNNNNNNNNNNNNNNNNNNNNNNNNNNNNNNNNNNNNNNNNNNNNNNNNNNNNNNNNNNNNNNNNNNNNNNNNNNNNNNNNNNNNNNNNNNUCCUCUUGUUCUAAGCUUUCUAGAGAUAUAAAGUUUGCUCCAUUUGGAUUAGAAUUGAGAAAGUUAUGCUUAGUCAAAGUGAGACAUUUUUUUUUAUCCAAAAUCUUCAAAAUUUGUCAAGACUUCUUGGCCAGGUUUCUUGCACUUCAAGGUAUUAUUUGAAAAUACUUUCUUCACAACAAUUGUACCUUGCCAUGUCCUCUUUCACAUCCUUUUGGAAUCAUCUCAUUUGGAUCCAUGGUUUGAGAGAUACAUUCAUUUAAAGUGGGCACCAUGAUUUGAUUUCCUAGGCAGAUUUUGGGUCUGGCUGGCCCAAUCAGAUUUUCUAAGUAUGCUGCACAAACCAGUCACGUUUUUUAUCUCUUUUGGCCAUGCAUUGGCCAACAUUUACUUAAGUUCGUCCAUAAAAUUACCCAAAAAUAUUUUUAACUUUUCUUAACGUUUUAUUUAAUUUUAUAUAAUUUUAUUUUCGUAUUUUUUUAAUAUUAAUAUUUUAUUUUAAUUAUUUAUUCUAAAUGGUCCAUUUUAACACACUUUUUUUAUUGAUUUUAUUUUUAUGACUUAAAAUUAUUGUUAGCAUUUGAUUUUUCGGAUAAAGGUUGACCACUGUCUCAUGGUCAACCUGACCUUUUCUUGGAAUUUUAUUACGCAUUCUCAAUUUAUUUUGGAUUUAUUUUUGACCUAGUUUGGUUGGUUGACUUUUAAUUUGACUUCUGUUUUACUUUAAUUAAUUCACGUACCAAUUUUCAUUAUUUUUAAAAUCUUUUUAGGGUAUGAUGAUGUCCUGAACCCAUAUUAUUUAGUUUAAUUUUUCAUAAUUUUCUUGAUUAAAUUACUAUUUAUUCUUGAUUUAUUUCUAACCUAGUCUUAUAUAUUGACUUUUGGUUUGACCUAUGUUUUGUUUUAAUUAAUUCACGUGCCAAUUUUCAUUAUUUUUAAAAUCUUUUUGGGGGAUGAUGAUGUCCUUACCCCAACUUAUUUAGUUUAAUUUUUCAUAAUUUUCUUGAUUAAUUUUCUAUUUAUUUGUUAUUUUUUAAGUUGACUUGAAUGUUCAGUUGACUUCUUUAUGAUCGAUGUUUGACUUAGGGAUUGCUUAUGGAAAUUAAAGAGAUCUUUUGAUCCUCCCUUGUUCAUCUCAUAUGCCAUGUAUUAGAGGCCUUUUACCUUGAUUUUAUUUGGUCCUUACCUCAUUUCCUGAUUAAAUUAUUCAGUGGACCCUUCGUGUGUNNNNNNNNNNNNNNNNNNNNNNNNNNNNNNNNNNNNNNNNNNNNNNNNNNNNNNNNNNNNNNNNNNNNNNNNNNNNNNNNNNNNNNNNNNNNNNNNNNNNACAUCAGUAUGUAUGAGGGCCAAAAGAUCAUUAGCUCUUUCACCUUUUCCUGUGAAUGGAGAUUUUGUCAUUUUCCAAGUACUUUGGGCAGUUUCUCUUUCAGUGUCCGGUCUUACCGCAAUGGAAGUAGGUGCCUGCCUUUGCUAUGCCUCCACUAGGCUUCAAAGUAGCAACAGUGGGUCUGGGUUUGGCAACUUCCUUGCCCUUCCCUUUAUCACCCUGCUUGGUGGGCCUUUUGUUCCGUCUCUUUCAUUUCUGAUCAUCAUAAUGGACUUCCCCUUUUAUCUUCAGAUUCUGCUAAGCAGUUCUUAACAUGGCUAGCAGUUCAUGAAGAGAUUUGUCCAUAUCAUUCAUAUUGAAAUUUAGGACAAAUUGACUAAAUCCAUCUGGCAACGAUUGCAGGAUCAAAUCAGUCGCAAGUUCCUUUCCGAGGGGAAAACCCAAUCUCUCAAGGUUUUCCACAUACCCAAUCAUCUUGAGCACAUGGGGACCUACAGGGGCUCCCUCAGCUAACUUGCCUUGAAAAAGGGAUUUUGAAACUUCAAACCUCUCAUGCCUUGCUUGCUCUUGAUAGAGCAUCUUCAGGUGUUCGAUCAUAUCGAACGCUGUCAUGUUCUCAUUUUGCUUUUGCAACUCUGAGUUCAUGACAUCCAGCAUGAGACAAGAAGUUUCAUUGGCAUCAUCGACAUGCUUCUUAUAAGCAUCUCUUUCUGCCUUAGGUGCAGAACUAGGAGGUUCCUCUUCAGGAACAGGUGUCUCUAAGACAUACAACUUUCUAUUAUGGUUGAGGACAAUCCUCAGGUUUCGGUGCCAAUCCAGAAAAUUUGUCCCAAACAAUUUUUCUUUGUCAAGGAUUGAUCGCAAAAUGUUUGUUAGAGGUGUUUGUUGUUAUGGUAAUCUACAUAAGGAUUAAUGAAAAUAUAAGUAUCAUUGACAUAUUUAAUUAGGCCUUUAAUUAUAUAUGCUCCCACUAUUUUACUCAAAACAAAUGACCCUCAUCAUUUGAUUCGGAAAAUCCCGUUGGAAGACUUUCUAGUGGGUCGAGAUCCAUAUUUCACUUCGUUCUAAGUCCGCGUAGGCAGAUUACACAAAACUAGGUUAUUUAGGUAGGAACUCCUUCCAAUUGUAUCUCAUACAACUCUCGAAAAUUUCAGUUGGGUGAAUAACUCCUUAUUCCAAUCCAUCAUAUGGAUCAUUCCCAACUCUUGCUUCUAAACAUAUAUAUAAUAUUAUCAUAAUUUGUUUAGUUAAGUUUGACCCAUUGUUUUAACAGUUGGAUAUUACAAUUAUCCCAUCGCACCUUACUAAUAUAUAGAUCAUGCACCUCGCGUAGGCGAAACCUACAUUAUCCAUUACUAGUCUUGAUGAGUGUUAAAACUUGGAAAGCAUAAACUUAAUAUUUAAUUUGAGGGAAUUUGCAAUUAUUCUGAUCUCACCGGCUUAUUUAUCAUAUAAAUCGUCUCUCACAUGCAUCAACAUACAUUCACAUGCAUCAACAUACAUACAUACAUAAUGAAACAGUUAUGGCCCCUAGCGCAAUUGUUCUCCCAAGCCAAUGAGAGAACCUAAGCUAACCUAAUAACGAUCUAAGCUUCUCCAAGCAAGAUCUUCAAGGUUGUCCUCCUUUGGCACUGACUUCUUUGCUUUUCUCAUAACAUUACAUUACAUAAAGAAACUCGUUUUACAUACGAGGGAGUGAGAUGAGAAAAGAAGUUACAUUGAGAGAUUAAAAGAGAGGCACGACACGCAAGUCGUAUUUUAAAACCCAAAACAAAAUAAAGGAAAACUAAGGCCAUAACCGAUCACCACAAGACAAUAAUAAACACAUUAUUAUUAUUAAUUCUUUUAAUUAAUUAAAACCAAAUUAAAUCUCGACGACCGAUCAUAUUACGCAGAGUUAGCCGAACGGGUGAUUUUUGCCUUACGUUAACCGGUUAACCAUAUGCGUUAAUCGGUUAACACUGUUUGAAAAUCUGUUCAUAAUUUGUAUUCUGUUUUGCGUUAACCGGUUAACCAAAUACGUUAACCGGUUAACACUGUUGAAAAACUGUUAGAAAGUUGUAUUCCGUUUCGUGUUAACCGGUUAACCAUAUACGUUAACUGGUUAACACUGUUUGAAAAUCUUUUAGAAAACAGUAUUCCGUCUUGCGUUAACCGGUUAACCAUAUGCGUUAACCGGUUAACACUAUACGAAAAUUUGUUAGAAAGCACAACUCUUGUGCAGUCACAACCCCAAUCGCAUAACUCUCUGACAACACAACCCUUGUGCCGUCACUAACCCUGAUGCACCAAUUUCAGACCGUCAAACACAUCUCGUUUGUUGAUUCAGUAUGAUUUAUCAACACGUCAUUGCUUCAUCAUACUAAUGUCGGAUCAAGAAGCAAACGACCAUUGAUCGCUCAAAGGAAAACAAUCAUUAAGUGUUUGAAUGAAUGAAACAGGAACACUAUAUCAUAUAUAAUGUAUUUUGCAUCAGGAUUACUUAUAUCAUAUAUAUAACUUGCUCGAUCUCAAUUUAAUCUUUGAUUCAUUCUGUCUUUAAUCGUAUUAAUACAGAAAAUAAACAGUUAUCAGAUUCAUGGUUUCGUAAGUGGCUCUGAUACCACUGAAGGAGAAUGGCGAUCCAAAAUGCAGCAGAAUUUAAAAUUUUCUCCUUUAAUGAUCCUUACAAAUGGGCAUGAUCAGUGAUAGAAUCGUUACCUCUUGUGGUGAUCACGAACGUUGAACGAUGACAACGCCUCUACUCAGUCCACACGAACGGAUUCCUUCAAUCUCAGUGCUAGCUGCUACGAAUGAAGGCUUUGAGUGAGAGAGAGAGAGAGAGAGAGAAACGAAAUUGCAAGUCUUCUGAAUGCUUCUGCACAAGGGUUCUAUUUAUAGAACCACUUGUGUGGGCUUCAAGCUAAAAAGCCCACUUAAUUGUAUUCUGGCCCAUAUCUUAUAAUAUGCCCAAAAUCACUUAAGCGUGUGGUACCUUACCAUAUUUUGUAUUCCACUUAAGUGCACCGUACCUUACGGUGUUCCUUAUUUACUCUAUCUUUCAUCAAUCCGUCCUUUGUGUGUGACCCUGUUGGUUUUCGCGACGUUGGCAAUUAUAUUAAAUCACGCAUUUAACAUGAUAAACAGUGAGCAGUAUCUAGCAACACAUCACUGUUACCCAAGAUACGUAAAUGUCAUAUGAUCUGACAAAUCCUUUUGUGAUAAUACUUAUGUGUAUAAUUACCCUUUUCCCUCUAUGUCUAUAUUGAACACAAGGCAUAGACUGUGUCAUCCUUGUCCAAUUCAAUAUUGGGCCUAUAGACAUUUAUCCUGUUACGCAGGAUGGGAAAAUUCCAUCUAGGUCACUCAUGUCCCUUAGCAUGCUUUGUGGAGUACCCAUCAACUGUCUUUAUGGUUAUCCAGUUACGGACAAUGUUGGAUCAGCAAUAAAGCACUCGACUCUACAUCUAGGGUCCAUAGUGGUUUCAGGUCGAAGAGUGGUAUACACCAUUAUCACCAUGAGAAUAACUUAUGACACUUUGCAUAACAUUCUAUAUAGUAUUCUCAUAGCGGGUCAAUCCAGUAUAAAUAUUACUCUUAAUAUUCAUACCUAUGUUUAAGACUUGAUAACUCCUUAUCCAUGAUCCAUGAGAUGUGAUCAUCAGUCUAUAUACAUAAUAGUCUUAAUGCUUUAAUGUUAUCCCACUUCACAAUAAAGCUCGACUACGGAUACUUUAAGAAUAGUGUCCUUAUGUUUAAUGUGAUCUCAUGAUUAAGUCACACUUGAUACAUUAAACGGACUAGCUAUUCUAGGGACUUUAUUAAACAAACAUAAUAAAGAAAAAGCCUUUUAUUAUUAAUAAAUAAUUCGAUACAAGUACCAAAAGUAUUGGCCUCUAGGGCUUACACCAACAAUCUCCCACUAGCACUAGAGCCAAUCAGGCAUACCCCUAAUGCCCAUAGAUCUAGUAUGGCCAUCAUGCUUCUGCUGCGCAAGAGGCUUUGUCAGUGGGUCAGCAAUAUUGUCAAGUGUAGGUACUCUGCAUAUUUUCACAUCUCCUCUAUCUAUUAUCUCUCGAAUGAGGUGAUAACGCCUAAGUAUGUGUUUGGAUCGUUGGUGAGAUCUAGGCUCCUUAGCUUGUGCGAUAGCACCAUUGUUAUCACAAUAGAGACCAAUGGGAUCCACAAUGCUAGGAACUAUGCCAAGUUCACUAAUGAACUUUUUGAUCCAAACAGCUUCCUUUGCUGCACUUGAGGCAGCAAUAUACUCGGCCUCGGUUGUAGAAUCAGCAACUGUAUCUUGCUUUGAACUUUUCCAGCUCACAGCGCCACCGUUUAAGCAAAACACAUAACCAGAUUGCGAUCUAAAGUCAUCCUUAUCUGUCUGGAAGCUAGCAUCGGUGUAUCCAAUUACAGCCAACUCUUCCUGACCUCCAUAUAUCAAGAAUGAGUCCUUAGUCCUUCUCAAAUACUUAAGGAUAUUCUUGACAGCUACCCAAUGAGCAUCACCAGGAUCAGAUUGGUACCUACUCGUUGCACUUAAAGCAUACGAGACAUCUGGUCGAGUACAUAACAUGGCAUACAUGAUAGAUCCUAUUGCAGAUGCAUAUGGAAUCUUAUUCAUGCGAUCCCUUUCUUCCUUAGUUGAAGGGGAUUGUGUUUUUGAUAGACACAGGCCAUGUUGCAUAGGUAUGAAUCCUUUCUUGGAAUCAUGCAUAUUAAAGCGUCUCAACACUUUGUCUAUGUAUGUACUCUGACUUAGGCCAAGCAGUUUUUGUGAUCUAUCUCUAUAGAUUCUGAUUCCUAAUAUAUAGGCUGCUUCACCUAGGUCCUUCAUAGAAAAGCAUUUCCCCAACCAAGACUUUACUUGUUGUAGGGUAGGGAUAUCGUUUCCAAUGAGUAAUAUGUCAUCUACAUAUAAUACCAGGAAAACGAUCAUGCUCCCACUAACCUUCUUGUAGACACAAGGCUCAUCUUCGUUCUUGAUGAAUCCAUAUUGUUUUACUGUUUCAUCAAAACGAAGAUUCCAGCUUCUGGAAGCUUGCUUCAAUCCAUAGAUUGAUCUUUGUAACUUACAUAUCUUUUGGGCUUCCUCUGGUAUGUCAAAUCCUUCAGGCUGUGUCAUGUACACAUCCUCAAGAAGAUUUCCAUUAAGGAAAGCAGUUUUGACAUCCAUCUGCCAUAUUUCAUAAUCAUGAUAUGCAGCGAUAGCAAGUAAAAUCCGAACAGAUUUAAGCAUUGCAACUGGUGAAAAGGUUUCAUCAUAGUCAACCCCAUGAAUUUGUUUAUAUCCUUUUGCAACCAGUCUUUCCUUAUAGGUAUGUACCUUACCAUCCAUGUCAGUCUUCUUUUUGAAGACCCACUUGCAUCAUAUAGGGUUAACUCCUACAGGAGGCUAUACCAAGGUCCAAACAUGGUUUGUGUACAUGGAAUCCAUUUCAGAUUUCAUGGCUUCUAGCCACUUCUCAGACUCGGGACUAGUUAUGGCCUCUUGGUAGGUCACAGGCUCAUCUUUAUCCAUGAGUAAUACAUCACCUUGAUCUGUUAUGAGAUAUCCAUAUCUCUCAGGUAGGUGAUGUAUCCUGCUUGACCUACGCUGGUCUUGUUCUACUUGAGCAGGCUGCUCUUCCACAACUACUUGUGUUUCCUUCUCUAAUUCCUCCAUAGGUGUAUCGAUGCUUUGUGAUUCUUGAAUUUAUUCAAGCUCUACUUUCCUCCCACUGAUUCCUUUGGAAAUAAAAUCCUUUUCUAGGAAAACUCCAGUUCGAGCGACAAACUCUACUUUGCUCUUCUGAUAGGAAUUGUAGAAGUAAUAACCUCUUGUUUCUUUAGGAUACCCCAAAAUAAGCAUUUGUCAGAUUUGGGUCAAAUAGCUUAGUGUGAAAAUUUUGUUGUUUUCACAUAAACUUCGCAAACCCCAAAAUCUUCAUGUUAAGACAUAUCGUGGUUUCUACAUCUUCAUAUCUCAUAUGGUGUCUUUUCACAAACCUUUUUUGGAUGGAACACAGUUAAGUGUGUAAGUUGCUUUGUCAAUUAGUGCAGUUGUCCUAAAAGGAGUUUGGAAGAUCGGCGUGACUUCAUCAGGAUCGGACCAUAUACAUACAUGGGUUUCGAUUCUUCUCUCAGAUACACUCAUUUCAUGGGUGUGUUCCAGGAGGAGUAUAGUUGUGGAGAUAGGAUCUCCACACUCUUUCAGAUGGUCACAACUCUAGGCUUAAAAUAUUCACCGACCUUUCGAUUGAUCGAAGAGUUUUAAUAUUCUUACCCCAGUUGUUUUGUACUCAUUCUUGAAUUUUUUCCCCCUUGAACUUUUCAAAAGGACUCUGAUUUGUGUUUUCAUUAAAUUACACAUAAACCAUAUCUUACUGAAAUGAUCAAUCAGUAAAUGUUGAUGAAGUACUGAAAAACCUCCUCUGGCUGGUAAUGUUCAUUGUGGUCCACAUACCAUGCAGUAUGUAUGAAAGGGCCAAAAGAUCAUUAGCUCUUUCACUUUUCUGUGAAUGGAGAUUUUGUCAUUUUCAAGUACUUUGGCAGUUUCUCUUUCAGUGUCCGUCUUACGCAAUGGAAUAGUGCCUUGCCCUUUGCUUAUGCUCCACUAGCUCAAAGUAGCAACAGUUUGGGUCUGGGUUUGGUCAACAUUCCUUGCGCCUUUUGCUCCCUUUAUCACUUCACUGCUUGGUGGGUACCUUUGUUCCCGUCUCUUUUCAUUCUGAUCAUGCAUAAUGGACCCUUUCCCCCUUUAUCUUCAGCAUUUGCUAAAGGGCAGUUCUUUAACAUGGCUAAGCAUUCAAAUGGAAGAGAUUUGUCCCAUAUCAUCAUAUUUUGAAAUUUAGGACAAAUUGACUAAUUCCAUCUGGCAAAGAUUGCAAGGAAUCAAAUCAGUCCGCCAGGUUCCCCUUUCCCGAGGGGAAAACCAAUCUCUCAGGUUUUUCCCCACAUACCCAAUCACUUUGAGCACAUGGGGACCCUAACAGGGGCUCCCUCAGCUUAACUUGCCUUGAAAAAAGGGGAUUUUGAAAAAUUCAAACCUCUCAUGCCAUUGCUUGCUCUUUAUAGAGCAUCUUCAGGUGUUGAUCAUAUCGAACGCUGUUUUCAUUGUUCUUAUUUUUGCUUUUGCAACUCUAGAGUUUCAUGACACCCAGCAUGAGACAAAGAAGUUUCAUUGGCUAUCAAUCGACCAUGCUUUUUCUUAUAAGCAUCUCUUUCUGCCUUAGGUUGCAGAAACUAGAGGUUCCUCUUCCAGGAACAGGUUGUCUCUAAAGACAUAUCAACUUUUCUAUUAGUGGUUUGAGACAAAUCCUCAGGUUUCGGUUGCUCCAUAUCCAGAAAUAUUUUUGUGUGUCCCAAUACAUGUUUCGUUUUGUCAAGGAAUGAAUCGCAAAAGUGUUUGUUAGAGGUGUUUGGUUUGUUAUGGUAAUCUGACAUAUAGGAUUUAAUGAAAUAUAUACAGUUAUCAUGAUCUAUUUUAAUUAGGUUUCCUUUAAAUUAUAUUCUUCCCCACUAUUUUACUCAAAAACAAAUUGAACCCCUUCAAUCAUUUUGAUUCGGAAAAUCCCCGUUGGAAGACCUUUUCAGUGGGUCGAAGCUCCAUAUUUCAACUGGUUUCUCGUCUAAUCUUCGCUGUAGGCAGAUUUUACAAAUACUAGGUUUAUUUUUAAGGUAGAACUCCUUCAAUUUGUAUUCUCAUACAACUCUUCGAAGAAUUCUAGUUGGGUGAAUAAACUCCUUAUCAAUCCAUCAAUAGGAUCAUUCCCAACUCUUGCUUCUAAAUCAUAUAUAAUUUUAAUAGAUUAAGUUUGACGCCGUGUUUUUUAGCAGUUGUAUAUUACAAUUAUCAAUCGCAUCUUUACUAAUAUAGAACAUGGCACCCCUCGCGUGGCGAAACCUUACAUUAAUCGAUUUUACUUAAGUCCUUGAUUGAGUGGCUAAAACUUGGAAAGCAAACAUAUAUAAUAUUUAUUAUAUUUGUUUUAGUUGUUUUGACGCCAUUUGUUUCUUUAGCAGUUGGAUAUACAAUUAUGCCAUCGUAACCGUUCUAAUGAUAGAACAUGGCACCUCGCGAGGCGAACCUCAUUAUCCGAUACUUAGUCCUUGAUGAGUGCUAACAAACUUGAAAGCAUAAUCUUAAUUAUUUAUUUUGAGGAUAUUUGCAGUUAUUCUGAUCUUCAACGGCUUAUUUAUCAUAUAAAUCGUCUCUCAAUACAUGCAUUCCAACAUACAUACAUAUGCAUCAACAUAACAUAAUAUAAUUGAAACAAGUUUGGCCCCCUAGCGCAAUUUGGUUCUUCACCAAGCCAUGAGAGAAACCUAAGCUAAACCUAAUAAGAUCUAAGCUUCUCCAAGCAAGAUCUUCAAGGUUGUCCUCUGCCCUUUGGCAACCGUGGACUUCUUUGUCUUUCUUUCAUAACAUUACAUUACACAAUAGAAACUCAUCUUUACAUACCGAGGGAGUGAAGAAUGAGAAAAAAUUACAUUGUAGAGAUUAAAAGAGAGAGGCUUAUCGACAUUCGCUAGGUUCCGUAUUUUAAAACCAAAACAAAUAAAGGAAAACUAAGGCAUAAAACGAUCACCACAAAGACCAAUAAUGAACACUUUUUUUUUUUUUAGGGUGCUUUAUUUUUGUGUAGGGUGGUUUUUUUUUUUUUUUUUUUUUUUGUUUUUUUUUUUUUUUUUUUUUUUUUUUUUUUUUUGUUUUUUAUUUUUUUUUUUUUUUUUUUUUUUUUUUUCUUUUUUUGUUUUUUUUUGUUUUGUUUUUUUUGUUUCAGUUUUUUUUUUUUUUUGGUUUUUUUUGUUUUGUUGUUUUUUUGUUUUGUUGUUUUUUUUGUUGUUUGUUUUUAUUUUUUUUGUUUUGUUUUUUGUUUUUUGCAGUUUGUUUUUCUUUUUUUGUUGUUUUUUUUGUUUUUUUUUGUUUUUGGUUUUUUUUUUUUGUUUUUGUUUUUUCUUUUUUUUUUUUUUUUUUUUUUUUUUUUUUUUUUUUUUUUUGUUUUUUUUGUUUUAUUUUUUUUUUUUUUUUUUUUUUUAUUUUUUUGUGUUUUUUUGUUGUUUUGUCGUGUUUGUGUGUAUUUUUUUUUUUUUUUUUUUUUUUUUUUUUAUGAAAUGUUUUUUGUUUUUUUGUGUUGUUUAUUGUUGUAUUAUGUAAUUGAUCAUAUGUUUAAUUCUUUUUUUUUAUUAAUUAAACCAAAUUAAAUCUCUUGACGACCGAUCACAUUACGCAGAGUUAGCGAUUACGGGUGGCCUUAUUUUGCCUUGCGUAACUUUCGGUUAAUCCAUAUGGCGUUAAACCGGUUGUAACACUGUUUUUGAAAAUCCUGUUCAUGAAUUUGUAUUUCAAUUUUGCGUUACAUGGUUAACCAAUUAACGUUAACUCGGUAUACACUGUUUGAAUAAAAUCUUUUAGAAAACAGUAUUCCGUCCCUUGCGUUAAUUCGUUAACCAUUACCGUUAACCGGUUAAACACUGUUUGAAAUCUUUUGAAAACAGUAUUCCGUCUUGCGUUAACCGGUUAAAUCCAUAUGCGUUAACCGUUAACUACUGUACCGAAAUUUGUUCAGAAAGUCACAACUCUUUGUGCAGUCACAUUCCCCAAUGAUAAUCUCCUCUUGACAACAACAUUACCCUUGGUGCGUCAUAAACCAUGAUGCAUCUCCAAGUCAGACCGUCAAAACACAUCUCGUUUGUUUGAGUUCAGUAUGAUUAUCAACACGUUUCAUUUUGCUUCAUCAUACUAAUGUCGGAUCAAGAUAGCACGACAUUGAUUCGCCAUAGGAAAACAUAUUCAUUAAGUGGUUUGAAUGAAUGAAACAGGAACACUAUAUCAUAUUAUUAUGUAUUUGGCAUCAGGAUUACUUAAUAUCAUAUAUGUAACUUGCUCGGAUGUCAUAUUAAUCUUUGAUUUCAAUUCUGUUCCCUUUUAUUAUUCGUAUUAUUACAGAAAUAAACAGUUUAAUCAGAUUUCCAGGUUGAGUGGCUUCUUGAUACCAUUCGAAGGUAGAUGGCGAUCCCAAAAAGCAGGCAGAAUUUAAUUUUCUCCUUUAGUGAUCUUACAAAUGGGCAUGAUCAGGUGAAUAGUAAUCGUUACUCUUGUGGUGAUUCACGAACGUUGAACUGACAACCCUGCUACCGCAGUCCCACACGGAUACGUGAUUUUCAAUCUCAAGUGCUAGCUGUCUACGAAUGAAGGUUUUGAGUGCGAGAGAGAGAUGGAGCGAGAGAUUGAGAACGAAAUUGGCAAACGUCUUUCCUGUAAUGUCUCUUUCCUGCACGGGUUUCUAUUUAUAGAACCAGGUUGUGUGGGCCUUCAAGCUAAAGCCCUUACUUAAUUUGUAUUUCUGGCUCCAUAUCUUAUAAAUAGCCAAAAUCACUUAAUGCGGUGUGGUUACCGAUUUACCAUAUUUUGUAUCCCUAAGUUGCAACACGUACUACGGUGUUUCGCUUUAUUUACUGCUAUCUUUCAUCAAUCCGUCCUUUGUGUUGGUGACCCUGUAUGGUUUUCAGCGACGUUGGCAAUUAUAGUUAAUCACUGCAUUUUUAACAUAUAUACAGUGUGCAGUUAUCUAUGCAACACAUCACUGUUAGCCUGCCAAAUACGUAACAUGUCCAAUAGUGAUCUGACAAAGUCUUUGUGUAAAUACUAUGUGUAUAAUUAUCCCUUUUCCCUCUAUGUCCUUAUAUGAACACAAGGCAUCGACUGUUGUUCAUGCCUUGUCCAAUCAAUAUGGGCCUAUAAUGACAUUUAUUCCUGUUACGCCAGAAUGGGAUAAAUUUCCAUCUAGGUCCACCUCAUGUCCCUUGCAGUUUUGGACCCAUGACUGUCUUUAUGGUUAUCCCAGUUAACGGACAUGUGUUGGAUUCAGGCAAUAAGUAACAUCGACUCAUACAUCUAGGUCCUAGUGGUUUUCAGUCCGAUUAGAGUGGUAAUAUCACCAUUAUCUUACCAUGAGAAUCUUAUGACACUUUGCAUAACAUUCGAUAUAGUUAAUCUCAUUAGCUGGGUCAUCCAGUAUAGAAAUUACUCUUAAAUAUUCCAUACGUAUGUUUGAUAAGACUUGAUAACUCCUUAUGCCAUGAUUCCAUGAGAUGUGAUCAUCAGUUCUAUAAACAUAAUAGUCUCCAUGCUUUAAUAUUAUCCCCUUCACAAUAUUCUCGACUAGGAUACUUUUAAGCCAUAGUUGCUUUAUGUUUUGAAUGGUUGCCUCUUCAUGAUAGUCACAUUCUUGAUACAUAAAUCUGACUAUCUAUUCAGGGUAGUUAUUAAACAACAAUAUAUUAAUAAUGACAAGCUCUUUAUUAUUAAUACCUAUUAUUCGAUUACAUAUACCAUAAGUAUUUGUGCCUCUAGGGCUUUAAUCCAACAAUUCUGCUCACUGGCAACUGAGAGCAAUCUAGGUGCAUACCCCUAAUUGCCCAUAGAUCUUAGUAUGUGCCACAUGGCUUCUGCCUUUGCGCAGAGAGGCUUUGUCAGUGGUCUCCAGCAAUAUUGUGUCAAGUGUAGGUAUCUCUACUAUUUUCACCAUCUCCUCUAUCUAUUAUCUCUGAAUGGGUGAUAACGCUAAGUUAUGUUGAUUGGAUCAUUGGUGAGAUCCGUAGGCCCUAGCUUGUGCGAUAAGCAACCAUUUUGUUAUCAAUAGAGACUAAUGGGAUCCAUCAAAUGCUAGGACUAUUGUCAAGGUUCACUAAUGAAGCUUUUUGAUCCAAACCAGCUCCUUUGCUGCCUUGAGGCAACAAUAUACUCGGCCCUCGGUUUGUAGAAUUAGCCAACUGUACUUUGCUUUGAAGCCUUUUUCCAGCUCACAGAGCCACCGUUGUUAAGCAAAACACAUAACCAGAUUGCGAUCUAAAGUCCUCCUUAUUUGUUCCCUGGAAGUUUCGCAUCGGUUGUUAAUCUCAAUUACCAGCCAACCUCUUUCCUGGACCUCAUAUAUCAGCAUGAGUCAGAGUUCUCUCAAGUACUUAAACGGAUAUUCUUGAACAGCCUACCGAACUGGGCAUCACCAGGAUCAGAUAUGGUACCCCUUACUCGUUGCACUUCAUAGAGUACCGAGACAUAUGGCCGCGCAGUAUCAUCACACAUUGGCAACCUCUAGAACAUGACAUAAGAGUCCCUAUUCGUCUAUGAUCGACAUAUCGGAUAUCCUAUUGUCAUUACUUUCGCGCUGAUUUUACCUUCUUCUUUCAGGUGAAGCGGGAAAUUAGUUGUUUUUUGCAUAGACACCAUCUGCCUUCAUGUUUGCAUUUUAGAGUAUCGCACUUCCCUUUGCCCCUUGGAACUCACUAUAUUGCAGGUGUUCUACAUCCGCGUCUGCAGCAUAAUCUCUUAGUCUAUUGCACGUACUGCUUACUAUAGCCUGAAGGGCAGUUUUUUGUUGAUAUAUCUCUAUAGGUAUUUUCUGAUUCUAAUCAUACACAUCUGCUUAGGCUGCUUUCCCCUAAGUUGGUCAUAUCAUAACCACAGGGCACAUUUCUCCCACCACCUAGGACUUUACUUGUUGCAGGGUAGGGAAAACAUCGGUUUCUUCACUAAUUGAGUAACAUCCAAUGUCUAUCUAAAUACUAGAUUCAGGGUAACUAUCAACUCAAGCCGUCCCAAUAACUGCAUCUGUAGACACAACGGCUUCCAUACUUCGUUCUUGAUGAUUCAUAAUGUUAUUAUAGUCUUUCAUCCAAAACCGCAAGAUUUCCAGCUUCUGUGUAUAUGCUUGCUUCACCAUUCGCAUGAUAUCGACGCCUUUUGUAACUACAUAUGCUUCUUGGGCUUCUUCAUGGUCAUUAUGCGGCAGAAAUCCACCGGUUCAGGUUGUGCUCCAAUUGUAUUCACUCUCAAUGAAGACUGUCCCAUUUAAUGAGAAGCAGUUUUGACAUCCAUCCGGGCUACUCGCCUCACUACUUUCGUGGUUAUCAUAAUCAUGAUUUACUACCAGCGCUGGCGCAAAGUAAACAUCCCGAACAGAUUUUUAAGCAUCUGCCCUAACUGGGCACUUGUCUUCUGGUCUUGGUGAAAGCGCGUUUCUCCUAUCACAUAGUCACAUUGGCUCACGCCAAGAAAUUUGUUUAUAUCUCUCUCCUGCAUUACCCAGCCCCCUUCCCUCUUAUACGGUAUGUACCGCUUUGCACCAUUCCAUGGUUCAGUCCGUUCCUUUUUGAAGCCCACUUGCAUCAUAUGGGUUACGAGCUUACUCUACAGGAGGCCCUACUACUAUAGGUCCAACAGGUUUGGUGCCUUCACAUGGGAAUUCGCCAAUUACUCCUACCGAUUGUCAGUGGCUUCUAGCACUUCUUCAGAAUUCCUCGGGACCACUGAGUUUCGUACGGUGCUCUUGGCGCUGCAGGUCCACAGCCCUUUCAUCUUAUCCAUUGAGUUUAUACAUGUCAUGAUCCACGCUUCUGGCUGGUCGUUGAUCCCUCUGUAUGUUUGAGAUAUCCAUGCUAUCCUCUUCAGGUAGGUUUGAUGUUAUCCUGCUCGGUGUGCACACUAUCGCUGGUACGGUUGUCCUCUACUUGAAGCUAGGCCCUCUCUCCAACAAUUCUACUAAUGUGUGUUUUAUCUCUAAUUCUCAUAGGUGUAUCGAGGCUCUUUGUGAUUUCCUUUGAAUUCAUAUUCUAAGAGCUGCUCUUACUUUCUCCCGGAUACUGUGGUGGAUAUAUAAUCCUUUUUUCUCUAGGGAAUAAGGUCUUGCUCCAAGUUGUCCGUAGCUGGGACACCAAUCUCCUUUAUUCCUCUUCCUGCAGGGAUGAAUUGUAAUGUACGUACCAGGUACCCCUUGGUUGUUUUCACAUUUAGGAUACCAAUAUAGGCGAUUGGUGUUUAUCAUUUAGCUCCUCAAGCUGAGUUGAAUAUUAGUCCGUUUCCAACAUAAACUUCCGCACCACAAGUCUUUCCAUGUACGACAUUGUUGGUUUUCCUUACACCCGUCAUAUUCUUCAUAUCGCUGGUUCACUUUUCAACCUUUUUGGAUGGCAACAGGUUACAAAAGGUGUGUAUUAGAUUGCUUUGUCCCAAAUAGUGCAUGUCCACUCGCGAAUAGGAGUUCUUUGCGAGAGAUUUUGGCGUGACCUCAUCAUGGAUCGGAACCAUGUCCAACAGGUUCGAUUCUUUCUCUCAGAUACACCAUUCUAACUCUUUUCCAUGGGGUGUUCAUUGGACGAGUAAGUUGGUAAUAGGAUUCACACUCUUUCAGAAUGGUCAAUUCAACGGUCUAGCGCUUUAACAGUGUACUUCACUCCACCUUUGAUCCGUGAUCGAUUUCGAUGUUAUUAAUGGUUUCUUACCUUCAGUUGGUUUUUUGUACUUUCAUCUUUCUUGAUCCCAGUGUUGGAAUCACUUUUCAAAGACUCUGUAAUUUGGUCUGAAUUGCAUUAAAUACAACACUAACGCAUAUAUCUACCUGAUACUCAUCCAGUGAAAAUUGUGAGUGAAGUUAAGCGCAGACUCCUCUGGCUGGUGAUGCCUCUCUAGUGGUUCCUUCAAUAGACGAUCAGGUUAUGUAAUGCAGCGGCCCUAAAAGUCAUUGUAGCUCUUCCUAUCCUUUUUUCUGUGAUUAUGGAGAAUUUUUUAGUCAUUCCAAGUGACUUACCUAGCCUCCCUUUUUCGGCAGUUCGGGCAGUUAUCUCUUCUCAGUGUUCCGGUCUUACCGCAACAAUGGAACAGGUGGCCUGCCUGUUCUGGCUAUGCUCUCCCACUCGGCAUUAAAUGCAGCAACACAUGGGUCCUGGGUUUUUGGCAACUUCCUUAGCCCUUCCUUCUAUCACGAUGCUCUACUGCUCUGGCAGGCAUCUCUCGCGUUAUUCUUGUUCUCUUUCAUUUCUUGAUCAUCCACUUGACCACUUCCGCCUUGGUCUUUCAAGAUCUCUUUCCUUCAGCAGUUCUUUAACAUUGGCUAGCCCAUGUUCAUCGAAUGAAGAUUUUGUCCAUCCUAGGUCACUACUCACACUAUAAUGAUUAUCUUAGGCACAAAUUCGACCUAAAAUACAUCUGCACAACGUAUCUGCAAGGAUCAAAAUACUCAGAUUUCGCCCAAGUUCUCCUUUUCGAGGGGAAAGAACACACCAAUAUCUCUCAAGGUUUUUCCACAUACCCGAACCUUACCCCUGCCUCAUCCCUUGAGCACAUCGGGGACCCUACAGGCGGCUCACAGUCUCAUGAACGUGCGCCCUUGAAAGCAGGGAGUUUUUGUACAACUGUCUCGGGUCUGCUUCACAAUGACCUCUCAACAUCGCAUGGUUGCCUUUUUGCUGGCUUGAUAGAUUGGCACAUACUUCAGUGUUUCGCACUUUCAUAUCGAACGCUGUCCCAUUGUUCUUGUCCAAGAUUUUGUCGUCUUCUUGCAUCUUCUGUAUGUUCAUGACAAUCCCCGACAUGAGACAAGAAGUUUCAACAUCUUUGGUCAUCAUCAGACAAUCUGCUUCUUAUUACACGCAUCCUUCUUAUACUUUGCCCCCGUUAAUGGUGUGCAGUGAACUUAGGAGUGUUUCCUCUUCAGGAACCAUGUGGUCCUCCAAGACAUACAGCUUUCUAUUAUGGUUGAGGAAAUCCUGCAGGUUUUUUCGGUGUCCAAUACCUUCAGGAAUUUUUUUCUCCAAAGGCUCAUGAAUAGGAUUCCAAAAUAUGUUAAUUGUAAUAAAUAAAUAUGCGAAUAAAAGAGUUUUUUUGUUUAACGCUUAAGAAAACCGAAGUGUAAUAAUUAAAUAAGAAUAUAUAAUAAUUAAAAUCGAAAAGGGGUAAAAUGUUUCAGGAUAAAUCAAAAACUAAUGGGGUAGAGACUAACCCCUAAAUAGUUAACAAGAAAAAUAUACACCACAUAGAAAUCCACAACAAAAAUGAAAGUAAAUGGAACAAGUACGAAGCCCAAGAAUUGGACCAGGGGGCCUAGCGGAAGACAUGAAGAAGCCUUUUUACCGCUAGGCCCAACGUCUUGUGAUGUUUUCAACGGCGUCCUUUGCGUACACACGAUAAGCUUACAUAAAAAAACGAAAUAACAAAAAGAUUGGGCCGAGUGUGGGCGGGCGCAAGCCCAAUCAAAAGCAGAAGCGAAUGGUGCGCUGGGCCUAACACGGGUUUUGGAUCCGACCCAACCCAUUGAUGCACAAGCUUAUGGAACAACCCUAACCCUAAAUGAAACCGCCACCCUUGUCCAAAAGCAACCCACAUGGAAAUCAAAUCAAUAGCUAAUGAAAUAUCUCUGUCUAAAUAUCAAACAGUCACACAUUUGGGAAGUGGAAAAGCAGUAAUGUGGCAUUGGGCAACGGAGAGUUAAGUGAAAUUCCAAUCAAAAUAAAGAAAAAGGUAGAAUUCCCCACUAUCUCAUUUUCCUUCCUCUGUUGAAAACCAAAGAAAGAACUCUCCUCCUCAAAACCAAAUACUUUCCCAAGAAUGGCCAAAGGAAAAAGCUUCCAUAAAACCAAACGAACCUUAAACUAAGGUCGAUUCCUAUCCUCACUUUGCCGUAUCCAAGGAUUCGACUGUUUCCCUCAAAACCGUCCUCCAUCGCGAACGCGGUUUUCAUGGAUUCACGCGAGAUGCUUCGAAACGAAACGGCCAACGCCCUGAUUCACAGAUUGUUGGGGUGAUUUACACAGAAAUAAACAAUCCGGAAGCAUAAAAUACUAAAGAAAUAUGAGUUAGCAUACAGAAGACAGAAAUGGAUAGGAAAAAUACCCACAAGAAACGAGUUACGGCCAGGGCUCUUGUAUAUCUUUCUCAAUCUCUCUAACUUCUCUUCUUUUUCUGGAUUUGGGUUGCUUAUCGGUUCGUCACCGUGAUGAAUUUCUGUGAAAUUUUCGGAUGUGGGGUUUUUUUUGGGUCCUCUAUGCGGUCUAAAUUGGGGUUUUUACUUGUCACUGCUCAAAAUGUUAGGGUUUGGUGGUUGAUAAAAUUUUCUAUUGUUGUAGAUCCCUGCUAGGUUCCUCCUUGGUGGUUUUAUGUUAGAUUUUUUAAAGGUUGAUGUUGAUGCAUAAAAUGAUGCAUCUGAAUCCAACUUUUCAGAGAUAAGAGUUUUUUUUUUGUUAUUUUGGUAUAAACUCUGCCACCACUGUAUAUUUAUUAACAAACUGAAUCCUCAACCUUUUUAAUUUGACGCUUUUUAUUGGUGUUUGUUUUCCCUGAGAAUGUGUUAAGCUCAGCGCUGCUAUCACUGCUAUACAUGACAAAUUCGCGCUUGGAAAGAAACAAAGGAACAAAGGGGGGCAAGAUAACAACCGUCCCAUGAAGAAAACAAGUCUUAAUUGGCAAUACUGUAAGAAAUUGUGUUUACUAUGUACUUUUAUCAUUAAAAUAAUAAAAUAAAAUAUUUUUGUUAUGGUUUGGUUUUAGUUACUGUAACAUAAAAAUUGAACUUUAAACUAGAAGAUCUUUUUUUUAAAUUUUUUUUUUCUUUGUGAAUAUAGACAAAAGGUAACAUAAAACUAAUUUUUUUCAUUAUUUUUUUAAAAUAAAAAUAAAUAAACAAUAAAUAGGAAUUAUAAUGUUACAAAAUAUUCAAAAUAAAUUCAAAUGAAAUGAAUAAUUGUAAAACAAAUUAGAAUUGGUAAAAUAAAAAUGUAAAACAAAUUUAGAAAAAAAAUUAUCAUUAUCAAUUUUUUUUUUAAAUUCAUAUCUUAAAUUUGUGAAAACAAAAAUUAAUUUGUCAUACUUAAUUUAAAACUAACAAUAAAAACUUUAACUUGCUAGAAAUUUAAAAUUAAUAGCAGGCAAACCAAAAGAACCUCAUUUUNCGAACGCUGUCAUGUUCUCAUGUUGCUUUUGCAACUCUGAGUUCAUGACAUCCAGCAUGAGACAAGAAGUUUCAUUGGCAUCAUCGACAUGCUUCUUAUAAGCAUCUCUUUCUGCCUUAGGUGCAGAACUAGGAGGUUCCUCUUCAGGAACAUGUGUCUCCAAGACAUACAGCUUUCUAUUAUGGUUGAGGACAAUCCUCAGGUUUCGGUGUCAAUCCUCAGGAAUUUUUUUCUCAAAGGCUUCAUGAAUAGGAUUCCAAAAUAUGUUAAUUGUAAUAAAUAAAUAUGCGAAUAAAAGAGUUUUGUUUUAACGCUUAAGAAAACGAAGUGUAAUAAUUAAAUAAGAAUAAUAAUAAUUAAAAUCGAAAAGGGUAAUGUUUUCAGGAUAAAUCAAAACUAAAUGGGGUAGAGACUACCCUAAAUAGUUAACAAGAAAAAUAUAAACACCACAUAAAAUCCACACAAAAUGAAGUAAAUGGAACAAGUACCAAGCCAAGAAUUGGACCAGGGGCCUAGCGGAAGACAUGAGAAGCCUUUACCGCUAGGCCCAAAGCGGUCUUGUGAUGUUUCACGGCGUCCUUGCGUACACAGAUAAGAUUACAUAAAAAACGAAAUAAAAAAAAGAUUGGGCCGAGUGUGGGCGGGCGCAGCCCAAUCAAAGCAGAAGCGAAUGGUGCGCUGGGCCUACAGCGGGUUGGAUCCGACCCAACCCACUUGAUGCACCAAGCUUAUGGAAAACCCUAACCCUAAAUGAAACCGCCACCCCUUGUCCAAAAGCAACCCACAUGGAAAUCAAAUCAAUAGCUAAUGAAUAUCUAUUGUUCCUAAAUAUCAACAGUCAUCAAUUGGGAAGUGGAAAAGCAGUAAUGGCAUUGGGCAACGGAGAAGUUAGUGAAAUUCCAAUCAAAAUAAAGAAAAAGGUAGAAUUCCCCCCACUUCUCAUUUCUCCUUCUCUGUUGAAACCAAAGAAAGAACUCUCUCUCUCAAAACCAAAUACUUUCCCAAGAAUGCCAAAGGAAAAAGCUUCCAUAAACCAAACCGAAACCUUAAACUAAUGGUCGAUUCCCAAUCCUCCCUUUGCCGUAUCCAAGGAUUCGACUGUUUCCCUCAACCGUCUCCAUCGCGAACCGGUUUCAUGGAUUCACGGCGAGAUGCUUCGAACGAAACGGCCAACGCCCUUAUUCACAGAUGUUGGGGUGAUUUACACAGAAAUAAACAAUCCGGAAAGCAUAAAUACGAAAGAAAUAUGAGUUAGCAUACAGAAGAAGAAAUGGAUAGGAAAAAUACCCCACAAGAAACGAGUUACGCAAGGCUCUUGUAUAUCUUUCUCAAUCUCUCUACUUCUCUUCUUUUUAUGGAUUUGGGUUGCUUAUCGGUUCGUCACCGUGAUGAUUUCUGUGAAAUUUUCGGAUGUGGUUUUUUGGGUCCUCUAUGCGUCUAAAUUGUUUUACUUGUCACUGCUCAAAAUGUUAGGGUUUGGUGGUUGAUAAAAUUUUCUAUUGUUGUGAGAUCCCUGCUAGGUUCCUCCUUGGUGGUUUUUAUGUUAGAUUUUUUUAAGGUGUGAUGUUGAUGCAUAAAAUGAUGCAUCUGAUCCAACUUUUCAAGAGAUAAGAGUUUUUUUUUUGUUAUUUUGGUAUAAACUCUGCCACCACUUAUAUUUAUUAACAAACUGCUCCUCAACCUUUUUAAUUUGACGCUUUUUAUUGGUGUUUGUUUCCUGUAAAUGUGUUAAGCUGCAGCUCUGCUAUCACUGCCUAUACAUGACAAAUCUCCGCUUGGAAAGAAACAAAGGAACAAAGGGGGGCAAGAUAACAACCGGUCCCAUGAAGAUAAACAAGUCUUAUUGCAAUACUGUAGAAUUGUGUUUACUAUGUACUUUUAUCAUUAAAAUAAUAAAAUAAAAUAUUUUUGUUAUGUUGGUUUUAGUUACUGUAACAUAAAAAUUGAACUUUAACUAGAAGACUUUUUUUAAAUUUUUUUUCUUGUGAUAUAGACAAAAGGUAACAUAAAAACUAAUUUUUUUAAUUAUUUUUUUUAAAAUAAAAUAAAAUAAACAUAAUAGAAUUAUAAAUGUUACAAAAUAUUCAAAUAAAUUCAAAUGAAAUGAAUAAAUUGUAAAAACAAAUUAGAAUUGUAAAAUAAAAUGUAAAACAAAUUUAGAAAAAAAAUUAUCAUUAUCAUUUUUUUUUAAAUUCAUAUCUUAAUUUGUGAAACAAAAAUUAAUUUGUCAAUACUUAUUUAAACAUAACAUAAAAACUUAACUUGCUAGAAAUUUAAAAAUAAUACCAAGGCAAACCAAAAAGAACCUAAUUUUUGAGAAUGUAAAGAUAUAACUCUAAAUAAUUAAAACUAAAUCUUCCAUGACAAAAAUAACCAAGGCAAACCAAAAAGAACCUAAUUUUUGAGAAUGUAAAGAUAUAACUCUAAAUAAUUAAAACUAAAUCUUCCAUGACAAAAAUCUCUAAACCUACAAGCACUUAAUGUAAUGCAACAAAUAUCGAUUAUGGGCAUGUGGUGUACAUGAAUAUGAAUGCUUAUGAAUGAAGAUCAUAUUUUUUAUGUGAAUUGGUAAAUAGAAAAAAAAAA
rnacentral:lncRNA from 1 species